CGGUGGGCGUGGGACGUGUUCUGACUGCCGAAGAGGAAGGUGUCCUGUCCUGUCACUCCUGUGCUGAGGCAAGAUGACAUCUUAACAAGCCACAUCAAGGAGCUGAGGAGGCAAGCAACUCAGUGGUGGAGGCCAUGGCUUUACUCCAAGAAAAAUUUUCUGGCCAUCAAAAACAUCAGCCACAAAAUAAUGACUGGAACUGCCAAGUUUGUAUUAAUGGGCUUCUCCAAGUUAAUGGGCUUCUCUCCAGAAAUGAUUUGAGAUCAUCCAGGUACGCCCGGCUGUUAGUGGACAUCUCCAUGGCGCUCUAGUUAAUGGUGCAUCUACGGCGAGAGCAUCGAUGACCUCAAAGACCACGCUUCUUGGAUGCCGAAAAUCGCGCCUCUUGGAUGAUGAAGACCGCGCCUUUUGGAUACCGAGAACGGUGCCUCUUGGAUGCCGAGGCCCGCGCCUCUUGGAUGCCGAGGCCCGCGCCUCUUGGAUGCCGAGGACCGCGCCUCUUGGAUGCCGAGGACCGCGCCUCUUGGAUGCCGAGGACCGCGCCUCUUGGAUGCCGAGGACCGCGCCUCAUGGAUGCCGAGGACCGCGCCUCUUGGAUGUCGAGGACCGCGCCUCUUGGAUGCCGAGGACCGCGCCUCUUGAAUGCCUAAUACCGCACCUCUUGGGUGCUGAAGACCGAGCCUCUUGGAAUGGUCUGCAGGCGUGUGUGUAACAUGUGUUGCGUUUAUGAAAAAUGUUCAGGGCAAGUUUUUUCAAAAAGCAAACGACACGCCAACUCAGAGGGAUUUCGCCUGGAAGUCGGAAGCAACCAGCGCUGAGUCAAAAAUCUGACGCGUUAUAGGUUGAGACUCCCGCGAGGAGGUUAUAGCUAUUUUUGCUGCUGUAUUUUCCUAAUAGAAAUGUGCAGAUUUAUUGUCGAAAUAUAUUAUUAUGUUCAAUUUUUGUGGAUAACGCGCAGCAUGAAAGGAAAACCCAUACUGAGAUUAAUCAGCCUUAUCUCUUUGCAAAUUUGAAAGCUUGUGGGUGAAUGUGAAAGCCAUGUGCUAAUGUGAAUACAAGGCUCGUAUGGGCCUUUCAGAAUACAAGUGUGGAAAAUUGAGUUAGUCUAAGUUCCUGAUUCAGACCGAUAUUGCUCUAUUUUAACAAUUAAUCACAAUGGAUUAUUUAAUCAAUUGAUCAGUAAUCAGAUAUUUCAUAGCUUCUAUUUCAUAUUUUAUUUCAUGUUUCACAUGCCUGACUGACAUGUUUCUCUUAGUAAAAUUUGCGUCUGCUUGAUCAGGUCAUUCUAGUGGUUAUUUGUCUAUUAAGUAAAUACUUUGGAGUAGCUUUUCCUCAAUUGCAUUAUCAGAAAGAUGCAGUCUGAACAGUUGAAAUGAUUACUAAUUUUAAUUGAGGUAAUUCAAUCCGAUGAUGUUUUGAAGUCAGUAUUUAACAAUGGAUCAGAAUUUUAUUGACAAGAUUUUUGCUCGCUGUUUUCUAGAAUGUAUGAAAACUUAUUCUUUACGCUGGUAUCGAAACAUUAAUCGCAUAUAAGUCACUUUGUUUUAGUGCAUUUCUUUGAGCCGUCAGGAAAACGUGAGGAACCAAAGUUUAUAUCAGUGUGUAAUUUCAUGCCAAAAUGUGACAACAUUAACUGAAGGCCAAUUGCUUGCUCAAGCCGAUCUGCGGCUAGUACCGGUAUUGCACCCAAGAUAACUAGCACUACUUACUUAUUUUAGAAUCCGAUUUUUGUCUUGAGGACAUAUAUGAUUGCAUUAGCCAAAGCUGCUGGUUGUCACGAGGUUUGCUACUUAUUGUGUCCUAGACUUUACUUUAUUCUGAUGAUUUAAGCAUUGAGAAUGUUUCAGCAUAUUUUGACUAAUAUCCAAGGCCUAUCUCAAAUGUCUUAAUGUCUAGGCAUUGAUACACAACUUUUUAACUCGAGAACUAUUGAACUAGGCUGGUGAAUGCUUACUCAUUUAGAUGUAGUUUGUGUUGAAAGGUGUUUUCAAUUUUUACAAUUGAUAUUUCUGAGCAGCGAAUAGUGAACCAUGUCCCUUUGAACUUUCUUAGUGUAAUAAAUUUUAUAUCUGAUUUCCAUAUGUAUAUGAUGUUUAUUUAAACACGCUCUAAAGUAAUCCCGAAUGAACAGGAUUUACCUUGGAAAGAGGAAAAUGAAAUUAAAACCAAGUAUCGCCUUUGGAACCUUGUUGACCUCGAACCAAGGUUAGGCCGAUAUACCAUAUGGUAUGACAACUCGGUGGUCACCGUAAUAGAAGUAUUCCGCAACAAACAGGUUUUUUUUAUUAAUUUUUGUACAGACAAUUACAAAAUGUUCAGACUAUGGAGAUAAUCAUUGUCAAUAAUUAAUUUGUUUUUUAAGCUACCUGUUGAUAUGCUACAUGGCGAACUACCUGAAUGCUGUGCUGUGUAGGUGAACUACCUGAAUGCUGUGCUGUGUAGGUGAACUGCCUGAAUGCUGUGCUGUGUAGAUGAACUGCCUGAAUGCUGUGCUGUAUAGAUGAACUGCCUGAAUGCUGUGCUGUGUAGCUGAACUACCUGAAUGCUGUGCUGUGUAGGUGAACUACCUGAAUGCUGAGCUGUGUAGGUGAACUGCCUGAAUGCUGUGCUGUGUAGGUGAACUACCUGAAUGCUGUGCUGUGUAGGUGAACUGCCUGAAUGCUGUGCUGUGUAGAUGAACUACCUGAAUGCUGUGCUGUGUAGGUGAACUGCCUGAAUGCUGUGCUGGGUUUUUCUACUCGCAGUCUAGGGCUCAAAAAGUUGCACAUUCCCCGCAGGUUCAUCCUAUAGCUCAAUAUGUUUUAUGUGAUGAAGGCCGCAGUAUUUACAUGACAAUAUACCUAAUGUUUUAUUUUGAUUGCUUGCCAAUUCCGAUUAAUACUUGUAUAAUAUAAAUUAUUUGAACUGAUGCAGCUGGUCUCCGAAACCUUUUCAUUGACGAUAUUACAAAUGUGCGUAAUGAUUUCUUAGCUUUUAAAUUGAAAUUUUGAACUUGCGAUUUCGGCAAAUUUAUGGUAUAAGUAUUAAUUUACACAAUAUAGUAUCAUCGAGGUCAAUAUUCGUGUCUUGGAAGCCUGGUGCCGUAGAUUUAUGGACGCUGUCAAUUGCGUGUCCAGGAUACUUAUCGUGUCGGGAUAUUGUAUA